GACAAACAGUAUACUUUUUUAUCGACACACAUACACUCCCAACAUGGAUUCCCUUCAAGAUGCAGCUAUCAGUCGGAACGCACGUCCAUAAUUAACAGCAUCCGAAUGACCUGGCGAAAUUCGCCUGAAAUCUGUGCUCAUUAUGCUACGUGGGCUGGCAUCGGUCGAAGGUUCCUGGAAAUCGCCUCUGAAGAGCGGUAUUCAGUAUGCAGAGGAAGCCAAGAGUCCACAUUAAUAACGAUUCACAUUAAGGAGUAAUCCCCUUGGCACCAUUGUAUUCCUUGGAACAAUCUCGGGAAAGAUUAAAAUAAAAAGGGGCGUGUACGUCAUCACUGUAUUUGAGAAGAUAAUUCCACAUUAAGAAGUUGAUAAAAAUGUCCAGUUCAAGGAGUUAUCAAACACACAUUUAUUAAAGUUAUUUGAGAGAUAACAAAAUAAAAAUCUCAUGUACACACAG